UACGUAGGUGGCAAGCGUUGUCCGGAUUUACUGGGCGUAAAGAGCGCGCAGGCGGCUGGCCAAGUCCGAUGUGAAAGCCCCCGGCUUAACCGGGGAGGGUCGUUGGGGACGGCGGGGCUUGAGGGCGGGAGAGGUCGGUGGAAUUCCCGGUGUAGUGGUGAAAUGCGUAGAGAUCGGGAGGAACACCUGUGGCGAAGGCGGCCGACUGGGCCGACCCUGACGCUGAGGCGCGAAGGCGUGGGGAGCGAACGGG
rnacentral:rRNA from 1 species